GCACCGGCACCGGCACCGGCACCGGCGUGGGCUGGCGCAGCUCCGCCGGGCAGCCGGGCGUGCCGUGUCCCGUCGCCCUUCAGCUGCGGGCUGGCGGGCGUCCAGCGGCGGAGCCAGCAGGCUGCACGCCUGACUGCCAACGGGAUUAAAAAAUAACAAUUAAUAGGAAAGCAGCCGGGACGGAGCGUCCCGGUGACCCCUGUCCCGCUCCCCGCAGGGUGCGAGGGAGGAAAGGAGCCGGGCAAGGAGCCCAGAUCGCAGGAGAGGGAUAGGAGAGGGAUACGCAGCGCUCCCCUGGAGCAGGUGGGCCGGGAUGUGCGGUGUAGAGCCUGGAUGCGACCGCAGCGCCCUCACCCCGCGCCCCAAGGCUGGAGAUGGGCGCACUAACCCUCCGUGGGAGCUGCGCUGGAAGCGCCGAGGCAGCGCUGUUGGAGCGGGGGGAAGGGUGGAAACAACUUCCCUCUCCAGCAGGAAAGGUGAUGGACCUUGAUCCACAAGGAUCGUGCCAGCAAGGUGCCGCGGCUGCGUUGGGAUCCCUGGAGCAGGGGACAACCCGCGCUUUUGCAUCGCCCCACUGCCUGGUUGAAUUUCCAGCUCCGAGCCCGAAUUUCCCUGGCUGCCACGGGACGAGGCUCCCAUGGGAAGCAGCUCACAUGGCCGGACCGUGGCUAAAGCGGCCGGAGCGUGGCUAACAGAGCUCCUUUGAAGUGCGGCCGUCCCCACGCCUCGGGGAGCGGGGCGAGCUCCGGAACGCACGCUCAGAGCAGCCAGAGCCGCGGGAGCGCCGCGGAGAGCCGAGCCUCCCACCGCGGGUCAUCCCGACCGGCUCCUUGGGGAAACCCAUAAAUCCACCUCCCGGGAAUAGCUCUGCUAACCCAGGCUUGGGCUCUCCUGGAGAGGGGAACUAGGUGCAGACCCCUCGGAAUAGCGAGGAAAGGAAUUUUUGCUGCUGUUCGUGGAACAAAGAGUCUUUUGUCGAUGCUAUCGGGAGUUAUUUUUAGGUCAACGCCUGCACUUGCUGGUGUUGUCGGGAUUAUCUGUGAGUCGACAGACCUUCAAAGACUCUGCCUGAGCACGAAGAGGGAGGAAAUCCUUGUGUUGUCUCUUGGAAGGGACAUUUGCCCUUGGACUCGGCCUGAUAAGGGUUUAUUGCUUUAACUGGGGAAUUCCUAUGAAUGCCCUACAACUUCUUAA